GCCAAGCAGUCUUGAAGAGCGCAGUCCUGGGCUGUCCGCACCAUGGCCUGGGCUCCUCUCCUGCUCACACUUCUGGCUCACAUCACAGGGGCUGAAUCACAGGCUGUGGUGACUCAGGAACCUCCACUGUCCACAUCUCCUGGAGGGACGGUCACGCUCACCUGUGGCUCCAGUACUGGAGCCGUCACGACCAGUAACUACGCUAGCUGGGUCCAACAGAAACCCUACCAAACACCCCAGGGACUAAUAUAUAGCACCAGCAACAGGAACCCCGGUGUCCCUGCCCGCUUCUCAGGCUCCUUGCUUGGAGACAAGGCUGCCCUCACCAUCACAGGGGCCAAGGCUGAAGACGAGGCCACCUAUUACUGUGCCCUGUGGUACAGCAACCAUUUCCACAGUGACACAUGCAGAUGGGGAACUGAGACAAAAACUCCCUUGUGCACAUCACCCUGUGCUCCUCAGCACCUCCUUGUGGACAAACACAAGACUCGGAGUCAUGUGUGGUGUCUGAGAGAGAUGGGAAUCUCUGGAGCCUUAGAAGGGGACCAUGUGAGGCAACCACUGCAAGAGCCCCAGUGA